CAGCUCUGGGGCGCGGCAGCCACUUCUGUCUGGACACAAAGGAGGAAGAGGCCUCCUUUCCUGUCCCUCUUGGGGACCUGGCUCUGCGGUCCCCUCCCACGCCCAGAGGAUUUCACUGGGCACCGGAGAGUCCGCUAAGGGGGAGUGGCACCUUUCCUGCAUCACCUCAAACCUGGACAGCUGAGACCACAAUCAAGCUAGCAUCGCGGGAAGGACAGACAGAAAGACAGGAAAUUUGCAGUGACUUUGGAGCCCAGACUGAGGAAGCCGAGGUGGCGAAAGGAGAGACAAUACGGUCCCGAAGUACAAUUAAGGAGCCAGAGCUGCUCCUCUCUCCCCCGCCCUCCUUGCCAGACUGCGAGCUGUCUGGUCUCCAACCUCUGGGCGACUCGCGAACCUGGAGCCAGAAACUCAGCCCGAGGCGGAGGGCGCCAGAGGACUCCGCACCCAGAAAACCAGGAGGGAAGCUGCCUUCCAACCUGGGGGGCACCGUAACCAGCCCCGCUGAGAUGCAGCGAAUCCAAUGAAUGAAUGUGCACAUUCCGACGACGAAUUUUCCCGAAUUUUCUCAGCCUUUGGAAGGAGAGCCCAGGGUUUGGGACAUCUCAGACAGACAGUCAGACAGACAGGCAAACCGCAUCUCCUGAGGCAGACAGGCUCACAACAUGAGUGUGAGCCUGAAAUCAUAUACAGGUUCAACAUUCCCGAGGCCUCUUUGCCCGGCCUGGCGGGCGCCGAUCUCUCCUACCUUCACUCCUGCCAGGGCCUCAGGCAGAGACCCAUAGGACUCGGUCCCGCUGGCUCGGUCCAGGUCCCGCCUCGGGAAGCGCCUUCGUUACCUGCUCCUCGGCUCCCCACGGCCACAGAUGCAGGGCAGCCGCCUCCGCCCGGGGAGGGAAGCCCUGGCCACCACCGCAGCCGCCGCCACCCGCCCUCCUUCCCUCCCUCCCUCCUUCUUGCCCUCCCUCCCUCGCUCCCUCCCUCGCGCGCUGCCGCUUGCGGGGCCCUCCCGCGGGCAACCUGCUCUGGACCAAAUCCAGGUAUCUCCAAAAGAGAGAAAAAAAGAGAGGACUUCUUAGGUGGAAAAGGACAAAAACAAAAAAGAAAGACCUUUCAUUGCAUUUAUUUUUCAUGCUCUGACCAGUGGUCGGCCUCAGUUCAAAUGUCUGGGACACAGCCCAGCAACCGCAGAGGUGUGCAGGGCCUGCUGCCUCACCCACGCCGCCGACCGCCCCGCGCCCUGCGCGCUGCACGCUCCACAAGCUGGGCCGCCGCCCCCAGCAUUCCAAACACCCAACAGACCUCAAGGUCCAUCCUACAGACUCAACAUCCGGUUGCCCGCCUCUGCGCUGACCACAACCCUGGAGCCCUCUGCUCCGUCUGGGGGCAAAGUCGACACACAAAGCACCUUGUCUGUGCUCUGGAGCCCAGCCUGGACCCCCUCUGGGUGAAGCCGCCCGCCGGGCUACACUUGGGCUGCGUUCCUGCUGGGGACUUCCAACCUCAUCCCCUGCUUGGGACCUACACAAAGCCCAGUGCUCUGGCCUUUCCUACCCAUAGCCUCCCUUCGCCAGUUGUCGCCUUCCCCUUCACCUGUUCCCAAGAAGGGCUUCAUCUCCAAGCGAGCAGAGCCAAGGCCGAUGGCCGGAGCGAGGUCCCAGGGAGGCCACAGCGGAUCAGCCGGGCUAAGCUGGAGGCCCUGCAGCCGCUGAGAUAUCUGAGAGACCAAGCCUCUCCUUGGCGAGCUCUAGGCUUUUCCUCCUUCUCCUGCAAGUCUCAAACACUCACACGCCGCCGAGAGUUCAGCUCUAUAAAUCCUGCUCCUCUUUCCCAUAUCAUAAUUAAAAAAAACCAGUAGGGGAGGUUUUAACUUUUAUUGCGAUUUCUAGAGUUGGGCUGCGGAGCAUAUAUUAAGUUUACGCUUAUGCGCUCCCGGCGGGGAGGGUCCUUUAAGAAAUAAAAAUCCAUCUUAAUAUCUGC
ensembl:lncRNA